rnacentral:rRNA from 1 species
UACGAAGGGGGCUAGCGUUGCUCGGAAUCACUGGGCGUAAAGGGUGCGUAGGCGGGUCUUUAAGUCAGGGGUGAAAUCCUGGAGCUCAACUCCAGAACUGCCUUUGAUACUGAGGAUCUUGAGUCCGGGAGAGGUGAGUGGAACUGCGAGUGUAGAGGUGAAAUUCGUAGAUAUUCGCAAGAACACCAGUGGCGAAGGCGGCUCACUGGCCCGAUACUGACGCUGAGGUGCGAAAGCGUGGGGAGCAAACGGG